rnacentral:ncRNA from 1 species
CAAAGUUAUACUUACUUAUAAUUAAUAUUUAUGCUAAUAAAUUUUGGCAUAUAAAGUUUGAUUCUUUCUUUUAAAUUAGUUUUUUAUAUUGAAUUAUAUGAAAUUUAGUAAAUUCUUAUUUUUCAGUAAUAAAUAUUAGUAUAAUAAUUAAAUUUUAUUUAGCAAUUAAAUUAGUUGGGAUUAAAAAUGUGCCAGCAUUCGCGGUUAUACAUUUUCAAUAAAUUAAUAUUAUUAGUAUUAAAAUUUUAUUAAUACUUGAUUUUUAUUAAUUUAAAAUUUAAGUGAAAUUUAUUUUUAAUUUUUAUUCUUUAAUAAAUUUAAUAAAUUCUUACACAAAACUAGGAUUAGAUACCCUAUUAUUAUGAAAUUUAAUUUUAAACUUGAUUAUUAAUAGCUAAGUUCUAUUAAAAUCAAAGAAUUUGGCGGUUACUUAUUUAAUUAGAGGAACCUGUUAUGUAAUUGAUAAACCACAAUAAUUUCUACCUUUAAUUUUAAUUUGUAUACCGCUAUACUAAGAAUGUUUUAAUAAAAUAUCUUCUUUCGCUAUAUUAGCUAAAUAUUAGGUCAAGGUGCAGUUUUAAAAAGGUAAUAAUGGGUUACAUUAAUUGUAAUUAAAUUUUAAUAUUAAUUAAAUAAAUUAAUUUAGAAUAGGAUUUAAAAGUAAUCAUAAUUUAUUAAUUAUAAUGAAUAUAUUUUAAGUGAUGUACAUAUCGCCCGUCGCUCUCAUUUUAAGUUGAGAUAAGUCGUAACAAAGUAAUCUUAUCGGAAGAUAAAGUUAGAAGU